UAUUUUAAUAGCUUAUAUUUAAAGUUUAAUAUUGAAGAUAUUAAGAGGACUUAUGUCUUAAAAUAUU
rnacentral:tRNA from 1 species